rnacentral:rRNA from 1 species
AGUGAACGCUGGCGGUAGGCCUAACACAUGCAAGUCGAACGGCAGCACAGUAAGAGCUUGCUCUUACGGGUGGCGAGUGGCGGACGGGUGAGGAAUACAUCGGAAUCUACUUUUUCGUGGGGGAUAACGUAGGGAAACUUACGCUAAUACCGCAUACGACCUACGGGUGAAAGCAGGGGAUCUUCGGAUCUUGCGCGAUUGAAUGAGCCGAUGUCGGAUUAGCUAGUUGGCGGGGUAAAGGCCCACCAAGGCGACGAUCCGUAGCUGGUCUGAGAGGAUGAUCAGCCACACUGGAACUGAGACACGGUCCAGACUCCUACGGGAGGCAGCAGUGGGGAAUAUUGGACAAUGGGCGCAAGCCUGAUCCAGCCAUACCGCGUGGGUGAAGAAGGCCUUCGGGUUGUAAAGCCCUUUUGUUGGGAAAGAAAAGCAGUAGGUUAAUACCCCGCUGUUCUGACGGUACCCAAAGAAUAAGCACCGGCUAACUUCGUG